rnacentral:rRNA from 1 species
UACGGGGGGGGCAAGCGUUGUUCGGAAUUACUGGGCGUAAAGGGCUCGUAGGCGGCCAACUAAGUCAGACGUGAAAUCCCUCGGCUUAACCGGGGAACUGCGUCUGAUACUGGAUGGCUUGAGUUCGGGAGAGGGAUGCGGAAUUCCAGGUGUAGCGGUGAAAUGCGUAGAUAUCUGGAGGAACACCGGUGGCGAAGGCGGCAUCCUGGACCGAGACUGACGCUGAGGAGCGUAAGCCAGGGGAGCAAACGGG